UACGUAGGGUGCAAGCGUUGUCCGGAAUUAUUGGGCGUAAAGAGCUCGUAGGCGGUCUGUCGCGUCGGCUGUGAAAACCCGGGGCUCAACCCCGGGCCUGCAGUCGAUACGGGCAGACUAGAGUGCGGUAGGGGAGACUGGAAUUCCUGGUGUAGCGGUGAAAUGCGCAGAUAUCAGGAGGAACACCGGUGGCGAAGGCGAGUCUCUGGACAUUUCCUGACGCUGAGGCACGAAAGCCAGGGGAGCAAACGGG
rnacentral:rRNA from 1 species